rnacentral:rRNA from 1 species
UACGUAGGGGGCAAGCGUUGUCCGGAUUUAUUGGGCGUAGAGAGCGUGUAGGCGGCUUUACAGGUCCGUUGUGAAAACUCGAGGCUCAACCUCGAGACGCCGGUGGAAACCGUAAGGCUAGAGUCCGGAAGAGGAGAGUGGAAUUCCUGGUGUAGCGGUGAAAUGCGCAGAUAUCAGGAAGAACACCCGUGGCGAAGGCGGCUCUCUGGGACGGUACUGACGCUGAGACGCGAAAGCGUGGGGAGCGAACAGG